CCUACGGGAGACAGCAGUGGGGGAUAUUGCACAAUGGGGGAAACCCUGAUGCAGCGACGCCGCGUGGGUGAAGAAGCGCCUCGGCGCGUAAAGCCCUGUCAGCAGGGAAGAAAAUGACGGUACCUGAAGAAGAAGCCCCGGCUAACUACGUGCCAGCAGCCGCGGUAAUACGUAGGGGGCAAGCGUUAUCCGGAUUUACUGGGUGUAAAGGGGGCGCAGACGGCGAUGCAAGCCAGGAGUGAAAGCCCGGGGCCCAACCCCGGGACUGCUCUUGGAACUGCGUGGCUAGAGUGCAGGAGGGGCAGGUGGAAUUCCUGGUGUAGCGGUGAAAUGCGUAGAUAUCAGGAGGAACACCGGUGGCGAAGGCGGCCUGCUGGACUGCAACUGACGUUGAGGCCCGAAAGCGUGGGGAGCAAACAGGAUUAGAUACCCCAGUAGUC
rnacentral:rRNA from 1 species